GACGUAGGGGGCAAGCGUUGUCCGGAAUCAUUGGGCGUAAAGAGCGUGUAGGCGGUUCGGUAAGUCGGCUGUGAAAGUCCAGGGCUCAACCCUGGGAUGCCGGUCGAUACUGCCGGACUAGAGUUCGGAAGAGGCGAGUGGAAUUCCCGGUGUAGCGGUGAAAUGCGCAGAUAUCGGGAGGAACACCUAUGGCGAAGGCAGCUCGCUGGGACGUUACUGACGCUGAGACGCGAAAGCGUGGGGAGCAAACAGG
rnacentral:rRNA from 1 species